rnacentral:rRNA from 1 species
GCGUUUAAUUUUGGGUCGUAGACCCGAAACUAGUCGAUGGUCUCGAGGGUAGGUACAAGAUCAAGUAACACGGAAUGGAGGACCGAAACGUGUUACGUCGAGUAGUGAGCGAAUGAGAUGCGGGUAGAGGAGAUUUUCCAAUCGACCCCGGGGAUCCCUGUUUCCCUCCGAAAUAGCAUUAGGGCUAGCCUCAUGUGAUGAUUAUUGGAGUUAGAGCACUGUGUGGACGAGGGGCCC